rnacentral:rRNA from 1 species
GGUAGCCGGCCUGAGAGGGUGACCGGCCACACUGGGACUGAGACACGGCCCAGACUCCUACGGGAGGCAGCAGUGGGGAAUAUUGCACAAUGGGCGGAAGCCUGAUGCAGCAACGCCGCGUGAGGGAUGACGGCCUUCGGGUUGUAAACCUCUUUUAGCAGGGAAGAAGCGAAAGUGACGGUACCUGCAGAAAAAGCGCCGGCUAACUACGUGCCAGCAGCCGCGGUAAUACGUAGGGCGCAAGCGUUAUCCGGAAUUAUUGGGCGUAAAGAGCUCGUAGGCGGUUUGUCGCGUCUGCUGUGAAAUCUGGGGGCUCAACCCCCAGCCUGCAGUGGGUACGGGCAGACUAGAGUGCGGUAGGGGAGAUUGGAAUUCCUGGUGUAGCGGUGGAAUGCGCAGAUAUCAGGAGGAACACCGAUGGCGAAGGCAGAUCUCUGGGCCGUAACUGACGCUGAGGAGCGAAAGGGUGGGGAGCAAACAGGCUUAGAUACCCUGGUAGUCCACCCCGUAAACGUUGGGAACUAGUUGUGGGGUCCAUUCCACGGAUUCCGUGACGCAGCUAACGCAUUAAGUUCCCCGCCUGGGGGAGUACGGA